AGUGAACGCUGGCGGUAGGCCUAACACAUGCAAGUCGAACGGCAGCACAGUAAGAGCUUGCUCUUACGGGUGGCGAGUGGCGGACGGGUGAGGAAUACAUCGGAAUCUACUUUUUCGUGGGGGAUAACGUAGGGAAACUUACGCUAAUACAGCAUCCGCCCUACGGGUGAAAGCAGGGGAUCUUCGGACCUUGCGCGAUUGAAUGAGCCGAUGUCGGAUUAGCUAGUUGGCGGGGUAAAGGCCCACCCAGGCGACGAUCCGUAGCUGGUCUGAGAGGAUGAUCAGCCACACUGGAACUGAGACACGGUCCAGACUCCUACGGGAGGCAGCAGUGGGGAAUAUUGGACAAUGGGCGCAAGCCUGAUCCAGCCAGACCGCGUGGGUGAAGAAGGCCUUCGGGUUGUAAAGCCCUUUUGUUGGGAAAGAAAAGCAGCAGGUUAAUACCCCGCUGUUCUGACGGUACCCAAAGAAUAAGCACCGGCUAACUUCGUG
rnacentral:rRNA from 1 species